rnacentral:rRNA from 1 species
UACGGGGGGGGCAAGCGUUUGUUCGGAAUUACUGGGCGUAAAGGGUUCGUAGGUGGCCAACUAAGUCAGACGUGAAAUCCCUCAGCUCAACUGGGGAACUGCGUCUGAUACUGGUCGGCUUGAGUGCAGGAGAGGAACGCGGAAUUCCAGGUGUAGCGGUGAAAUGCGCAGAUAUCAGGAGGAACACCGGUGGCGAAGGCGGUGGUCUGGGCCGGCACUGACGCUGAGGAGCGAAAGCGUGGGGAGCAAACAGG